AACGAACGCUGGCGGCAGGCCUAACACAUGCAAGUCGAGCGAGAUCUUCGGGUCUAGCGGCGGACGGGUGAGUAACGCGUGGGAAUAUGCCUCUUGGUACGGAAUAGCCUCGGGAAACUGGGAGUAAUACCGUAUGUGCCCGUUGGGGGAAAGAUUUAUCGCCAAGAGAUUAGCACGCGUUGGAUUAGGUAGUUGGUGGGGUAAUGGCCUACCAAGCCGACGAUCCAUAGCUGGUUUGAGAGGAUGAUCAGCCACACUGGGACUGAGACACGGCCCAGACUCCUACGGGAGGCAGCAGUGGGGAAUGUUAGACAAUGGGGGCAACCCUGAUCGAGCCAUGCCGCGUGAGUGAUGAAGGCCUUAGGGUUGUAAAGCUCUUUCAGCUGGGAAGAUAAUGACGGUACCAGCAGAAGAAGCCCCGGCUAACUCCGUG
rnacentral:rRNA from 1 species